UGCUUUCCCUUGAAAAAAAGCAUAUCACAUUCUCUGUUUAACUCUGGCAGGCAUCAACACAAGAAAAGCUAUUCUACCUGCUGCUGUGUCUUUCUGACGGCUUGAUAAUGUCAAUCAAUAAUUCAAAAAUCUGUUGGAUGAAGCUCGCUUGUAUGGAUGGAUAUCGGAAAACUUGCUUUAUGUUGAACAUCUGAAUUCAUUGGUAUGGCAUAACAGCACCUGGCCUUCCCAGUAGGGCUUCAGGGAAUCAAAUUCGCUAAAAGGAAGUCUGCAAGUAAGAGCAUGUGCACAACCCAUGUCCCAGAGUGCUGGGCAGAUGGGGGGCAGUUUGCAGUUUUUGCAACCAGGUCAGUGGUCCCCUAGUUACCCUGCUGUAGAAAAGAAUUUCCUUCUUAAAUUAAAAAACGUCUUUAAUUAGAUAGUUUGCCCUAGGUAAUAUAAUCACUAAACAAAUCUGGUACAUCUACUUUUACAUAAACAAUGGCUACAACAGGGUGUCCAUCAAAUA